rnacentral:rRNA from 1 species
AGAAUCAACGCUGGCGGCGUGCCUAACACAUGCAAGUCGAACGAGAAAGGGGUAGCAAUACCCUGAGUAAAGUGGCGCACGGGUGAGUAACACGUGACUAACCUACCCUGGAGUGGGGGAUAACUGAGGGAAACCUUAGCUAAUACCGCAUAAUACCUACGGGUCAAAGGAGCAAUUCGCUUUGGGAGGGGGUCGCGGCCGAUUAGUUAGUUGGCGGGGUAAUGGCCCACCAAGACGAUGAUCGGUAUCCGGCCUGAGAGGGCGCACGGACACACUGGAACUGAAACACGGUCCAGACUCCUACGGGAGGCAGCAGUGGGGAAUUUUGCGCAAUGGGGGAAACCCUGACGCAGCAACGCCGCGUGGAGGAUGAAGUACUUCGGUACGUAAACUCCUUUCGAUCGGGACGAUUAUGACGGUACCGAGAGAAGAAGCCCGGCUAACUUCGCGCCAGCAGCCGC